CUACGGGAGGCAGCAGUGGGGAAUAUUGCACAAUGGGGGAAACCCUGAUGCAGCGACGCCGCGUGGAGGAAGAAGGUCUUCGGAUUGUAAACUCCUGUUGUUGAGGAAGAUAAUGACGGUACUCAACAAGGAAGUGACGGCUAACUACGUGCCAGCAGCCGCGGUAAAACGUAGGUCACAAGCGUUGUCCGGAAUUACUGGGUGUAAAGGGAGCGCAGGCGGGAAGACAAGUUGGAAGUGAAAUCCAUGGGCUCAACCCAUGAACUGCUUUCAAAACUGUUUUUCUUGAGUAGUGCAGAGGUAGGCGGAAUUCCCGGUGUAGCGGUGGAAUGCGUAGAUAUCGGGAGGAACACCAGUGGCGAAGGCGGCCUACUGGGCACCAACUGACGCUGAGGCUCGAAAGUGUGGGUAGCAAACAGGAUUAGAUACCCUGGUAGUCCACACCGUAAACGCUGAAAAGGAGGUGUUGGAGGAUUGACCCCUUCAGUG
rnacentral:rRNA from 1 species